AGCAGUAUGGCUGAGUGGUUAAGGUGUUGGACUUAAGAGCCAAUGGACAGAUGUCUUCGUUGGUUCAAACCCCACUACUGGUA